rnacentral:rRNA from 1 species
UAUAGUAAAAGACUGAGGUUGACCCUCUUCAAGCUAUAUUCACUAGCUAUCUUGAGUUUUAAGGACGAUAGUGAAUCCUUUAAGUAAGGGUUAAAUUGUUGAUAUUAGGAGACAUUCGAAGGCGAAAGCAAUGAUCGACUUAAAUCUGACGUUAGGUACUAAAGCAUGGGUAUGAAAAGGAUUAGAGACCUUGUAGUCCAUGCUGUAAACUAUGAGUGUUCAACAUCCUUUUGUGAUUUGCUUUUUGUAUACAAAAACAGAAGACAUGAAAGGGGGUUUGAAGCUAACGCGUGAAACACCGCCUGGGGAAUGUGGCCGCAAGGUU